rnacentral:rRNA from 1 species
GUGACUGCGUACCUUUUGUAUAAUGGGUCAGCGACUUAUAUUCUGUAGCAAGGUUAACCGAAUAGGGGAGCCGGAGGGAAACCGAGUCUUAAUUGGGCGUUAAGUUGCAGGGUAUAGACCCGAAACCCGGUGAUCUAGCCAUGGGCAGGUUGAAGGUUGGGUAACACUAACUGGAGGACCGAACCGACUAAUGUUGAAAAAUUAGCGGAUGACCUGUGGCUGGGGGUGAAAGGCCAAUCAAACCGGGAGAUAGCUGGUUCUCCCCGAAAGCUAUUUAGGUAGCGCCUCGUGAAUUCAUCUCCGGGGGUAGAGCACUGUUUCGGCUAGGGGGCCAUCCCGGCUUACCAACCCGAUGCAAACUGCGAAUACCGGAGAAUGUUAUCACGGGAGACACACGGCGGGUGCUAACGUCCGUCGUGAAGAGGGAAACAACCCAGACCGCCAGCUAAGGUCCCAAAGUCAUGGUUAAGUGGGAAACGAUGUGGGAAGGCCCAGACAGCCAGGAUGUUGGCUUAGAAGCAGCCAUCAUUUAAAGANGGAAGGCCCAGACAGCCAGGAUGUUGGCUUAGAAGCAGCCAUCAUUUAAAGAAAGCGUAAUAGCUCACUGGUCGAGUCGGCCUGCGCGGAAGAUGUAACGGGGCUAAACCAUGCACCGAAGCUGCGGCAGCGAACGUAUCACCCAAGACAACUUUACGGAGUUGACGAUUGACGGAGCGAAGCGACGUCAAAGCGUUCAUUAAAGUCGAGUUGGCUUAGGGAUACGUUC